GAGAAACCAAAUAACAACCAAAUCACAAAAUCACAGUUUCAUCAAUCAUCGCAAAUCCUCCUCCUCCGUCAAACCCACUCUCCUCCUCCGUCAAACCCACUCCCACCGGCGAAUCCUCCUCCGUCAAACCCACUCUCCUCCUCCGUCAAACCCACUCCCACCGGCGAAUCCAUCUCGUCCUCCGUCGCACAACCACUCACCAUCGACGACAAUCCAAUCAGCUUAAAUCGCAAAAUCAGCUUAAUCGGUGGGAGAGUCUCAUGCUAGCUCACAAGAAUACCGACCUCAUGAAGGUGGUAAAGCUGAUCCAUAUGGCUUUAAGCCAUUCUACAAGUCAAGUGGACGCAACAAAGCUGAUUCUGAAGUAACAAAGUACUUGGAUGAAAUAUUAGAGGAAGAAGGGGAUUUAGAUGUCCUAAUUUGGUGGAAGGAUAAUUGUACUCGAUAUCCAGUCCUUGCAAGAAUUGCAAGAGAAGUGUUGGCUAUACCAGUCUCUACGGUUGCCUCUGAAUCUGCCUUUAGUACCGGAGGGAGAGUGCUUGAUGCAUAUAGGAGUUCACUGUCAGCAAUAACAGUGGAAGCAUUGAUUUGCACACAAGAUUGGGUUAAAAAAAAACAUCAUGGCAUUGAGACAUCAUCUUUGGUUUCAUAUGAUGAUCUUAACACUCUACAGCAACUUGAGCAAGGUAAGAUUAAAAGAUAUCUUCUUUUUACUUACUAUAGUAAAUCUAUCUUUGAUUCUUUGUUUUAGCUGUUUUCUUGUAGCUGGUGCGGGUGUUGACUAGCCCUCGUGCUUGGUUGGCUAGAAGUAAUUGAUCAAUCUUGCUGAUGGGUUUUUUUUAUUUUGGCUUCAUCCUCUUGCGCCUCAAGUUUGCGUUGGAUGGUGUUCUCUCCAGCUUAGCCAGAAGCAUUUGGGUUGCUUUGUUUGGUUUUUUAACUUUGGUUUAGUUACUUUGUUUGACUGUUUCUUCAUUUUAGUUUGUCAAUUAGUUUUCUCUAGUUUGUAAUUUUUCUUCACUUCUUGCUGCGUGGUGGUGUUGUCUGAGUUAAUUCUUAGCUUGCGAAGUUAGCCAUGAUCUUGUAGAUGUAUAUGUCAGGAGCAAAUAUACAUCUCAGAGGCAUCCUAUAUUGACAAGUUGCACAUGGAUCUCAGAGGCAUGGUAAUAAUGAAUUCCUUUUUGUGUUUUGCAGAUUUUUUUAUCAAAUCUUGGUAGUUCUUCGGCUUCUACGAGGCUCGAUGACGAUUGAAGGUAAUUAUGUCCCAAUAUUAGUAAUUUUUAGGCUAUAAUGAUGGAGUUGAAUGAGUAUGAUGAGUUGAAUUAGGCAGUUAUAAUUAUCGUGACAGAUUAGUUUGCAUAGAUAUUGUCUAGUGAGUUUCAUUGUAAUAAUGCUGCCUAAGUCCUUCUGCAUAAUUGAACUGGUGUAGUCAGUAGUGUACUUAGCUAUUGUCUUGUGAGCUGCAUAAUUGAAAAUUAGUGCUUAAUUCUGGUAUUGUUCGCUGUCCUUCAGUAACAGAUUAGUUUGCAUAGAUAUUGUCUAGUGAGUUUCAUUGUAAUAAUGUUGCUUAAGUCCUUCUGCAUAAUUGAACUGGUGUAGUCAGUAGUUUGAUAUAACAUGUGUAAUAGCUCUUUGUGGUUGGAUCUCAUUAUUAUUUGAUUUGAUAUUAGAACAUGCAGAGUUUGUUCUCAGUUGAAUUGUACUGGCAUUUGUCUUUGGAAGUGAUGAAAUUGUGAACAAGUACUUCUUCUUUGUUAAAUUUCACAUCAUUCUUCUUACUUCUUCUUUA